CGCCUCUUGAAACCAUAUAAGAGGUCCAGCCUGCCCAGUGACUAAGUUCAACGGCCGCGGUAUCCUAACCGUGCGAAGGUAGCGUAAUCACUUGUUCUUUAAAUGAGGACUAGUAUGAAUGGCACCACGAGGGUUAUACUGUCUCCUUUCUCUAAUCAAUGAAACUGAUCUCCCCGUGAAGAAGCGGGGAUAAAUUUAUAAGACGAGAAGACCCUAUGGAGCUUUAAACUACGUGACACUGGCUUAUAUUCUACUGUGUUUCAGAAUUAUCACAAUUAUACUAGCUAGUAUGAUUACUAGUUUUAGGUUGGGGUGACCACGGAGCAAAAAUUAACCUCCAUGAUGAACGGAACCUAUUCCUGAGCUAAAAGCUACAACUUUAAGCACUAACAAAUUAACAUUAAUUGACCCAAAAUAUUGAUCAACGAACCAAGUUACCCUAGGGAUAACAGCGCA
rnacentral:rRNA from 1 species